rnacentral:tRNA from 1 species
UGCCGGGUGGUCUAAUGGUAGGACACGGGCCUUUGGAGCCCGGUGUGGUGGUUCGAUCCCAUCCCCGGCAG